rnacentral:rRNA from 1 species
UACAGAGGUCCCGAGCGUUGUUCGGAUUCACUGGGCGUAAAGGGUGCGUAGGUGGUGAGGUAAGUCUGAUGUGAAAUCCCGCAGCUCAACUGCGGAACUGCAUCGGAUACUAUCUUGCUAGAGGGUUUGAGGGGGGACUGGAAUUCUCGGUGUAGCAGUGAAAUGCGUAGAUAUCGAGAGGAACACCAGUGGCGAAGGCGAGUCCCUGGAAAACUCCUGACACUGAGGCACGAAAAGCUAGGGGAGCAAACAGG